rnacentral:rRNA from 1 species
GAUGAACGCUAGCUACAGGCUUAACACAUGCAAGUCGCGGGGCAGCAUGGGGGUUGCUUGCAAUCCCUGAUGGCGACCGGCGCACGGGUGAGUAACGCGUAUCCAACCUGCCCUUCACCACGGGAUAACCCGGCGAAAGUCGGAUUAAUACCGUAUGUAGUCCAUUGACGGCAUCCGAUUUGGACGAAAGGCUUAGCGGUGAGGGAUGGGGAUGCGUCCGAUUAGCUUGACGGCGGGGUAACGGCCCACCGUGGCGACGAUCGGUAGGGGUUCUGAGAGGAAGGUCCCCCACACUGGAACUGAGACACGGUCCAGACUCCUACGGGAGGCAGCAGUGAGGAAUAUUGGUCAAUGGGCGGAAGCCUGAACCAGCCAAGUAGCGUGCAGGAUGACGGCCCUAUGGGUUGUAAACUGCUUUUAUGCGGGGAUAAAGGAGCCCACGUGUGGGUUUUUGCAGGUACCGCAUGAAUAAGGACCGGCUAAUUCCGUGCCAGCAGCCGCGGUAAUACGGAAGGUCCGGGCGUUAUCCGGAUUUAUUGGGUUUAAAGGGAGCGUAGGCCGCCCCUUAAGCGUGUUGUGAAAUUUAGGUGCUCAACAUUUAACUUGCAGCGCGAACUGUCAGACUUGAGUACACGCAGCGCAGGCGGAAUUCAUGGUGUAGCGGUGAAAUGCUUAGAUAUCAUGAGGAACUCCGAUCGCGAAGGCAGCCUGCGGGAGUGUUACUGACGCUUAAGCUCGAAGGUGCGGGUAUCGAACAGG